AUUGAACGCUGGCGGCAGGCCUAACACAUGCAAGUCGAGCGGAUGAAGGGAGCUUGCUCCUGGAUUCAGCGGCGGACGGGUGAGUAAUGCCUAGGAAUCUGCCUGGUAGUGGGGGAUAACGUCCGUAAACGGGCGCUAAUACCGCAUACGUCCUGAGGGAGAAAGUGGGGGAUCUUCGGACCUCACGCUAUCAGAUGAGCCUAGGUCGGAUUAGCUAGUUGGUGGGGUAAAGGCCUACCAAGGCGACGAUCCGUAACUGGUCUGAGAGGAUGAUCAGUCACACUGGAACUGAGACACGGUCCAGACUCCUAAGGGAGGCAGCAGUGGGGAAUAUUGGACAAUGGGCGAAAGCCUGAUCCAGCCAUGCCGCGUGUGUGAAGAAGGUCUUCGGAUUGUAAAGCACUUUAAGUUGGGAGGAAGGGCAGUAAGUUAAUACCUUGCUUUUUUGACGUUACCAACAGAAUAAGCUCCGGCUAACUUCGUG
rnacentral:rRNA from 1 species